GGAAGUAAAAGUCGAACAAGGUUUCCGUAGGUGAACCUGCGGAAGGAUCAUUAUUGUAUAACCGAGGUGCGAGGGCUGUCGCUGACCCGAAAGGUCGUGCACGCCCGAGUGCCCUCACACACAUCCAUCUCACCCCUAUGUGCACCACCGCGUGGGUCCCCCUUUGGCUUGUUCGGAGGGGGGCUUACGUCUUCACACAAACUUUGUAUGCAGUGUAGAAUGUAUUUUUUGUUUUUGCGAUCACGCAAUCAAUACAACUUUCAACAACGGAUCUCUUGGCUCUC
rnacentral:misc_RNA from 1 species